UACGUAGGUGGCAAGCGUUGUCCGGAUUUAUUGGGCUUAAAGGGUGCGUAGGCGGUAUUUUAAGUCAGUGGUGAAAUACUUCAGCUUAACUGGAGAGGUGCCAUUGAUACUGGGAUGCUUGAGUACUGAUGAGGUAGGCGGAAUGGACGGUGUAGCGGUGAAAUGCUUAGAUAUCGUCCAGAACACCGAUAGCGAAGGCAGCUUACUAAGGAGUAACUGACGCUGAGGCACGAAAGCGUGGGGAGCAAACAGG
rnacentral:rRNA from 1 species